CUCUCUCUGUUUCAACCCACUUAGAAGGGAGAACUUGAUCUCCUUCAACUAGCUCUAGAGAAGCUGUAUUCUGAACGCAAUGAUUACAAGCAAAGAGCUCCUAAUUCGUUUUCAACAUCACAUGAGCUUGAUAAGCAUGUAAGAAUCAACACUAAACUAUCGAGUGCCAUGCCUUUUGAUAAAUUUCUUUUUUUUACUUAUUUUUAUUUCCUAGUUCUCUUGGCUUUUCUCCCCUUGUUGAGAUGAUUACAGAAAUUGCAUUUUCGGAUGCUGCAUGGAACCAACAAUUUGGCAGAGGAAAAGCAACUGCUAAAAGAAAUAUAUGGAAGCCGACAGAAAACCAUCAGUUCAUGUUUUCCAUUGAAGGAGCUUGACGAUGCUGUAAGUUUAAAAUGAAAUAUUUAGCCAUCACGACUAAUUCUCUUGUUUGUAUUUCAUUGAACAUCUGAUUUUUACUUUCAAUUUUGUUGGAUUUUCUGGGAGUACCGUUGAAGCAGAUAUGGUGGUUUCAUUCCAAUGAAUGGCGGGCAUUGGCGUACUGGCCGUUCAAGGAAACCACUGCGGAUCAUAAAGAGAAGAUCAAAAGAGAAAAAAAUGAGCUUGUUUGUCUGAAAGAGAAAGCUAUUGCCAAUGCUGCUGUCAAAGGAAAACUUUGGAACUCUUUGGGUUCAAAACAAGUCAUACAAGACCAAGUUAAUGUUAUAGGUACCGAAUUAAAUGGAAUAAAAAAAAAAGUAUUGCAAGUUAGGGCUAAUGCCAAGCAUGUUGAGAGAGAAUUGAAGCAAGUGGAAAAAGAUACAGAACUUGUAAAGAAGCACUUGAGAGUUACACGUCAAAGAAAGGAUAUUGAAGUGUCCAAAUGGCUUGGUCAGCUUAGGGAACUGCGCGCUGAGGGUUCUGACUAUUACAAAUACCAGUCCCUAGUAGAAAAUGCAAGAAAGCUUGCUCAAAAGAAAGGUGUGGCUGCACUUGAGGAGUUGUAACAUGUCCCAAGAGCAGGUUGAUCGAUUCCAACUUCUUCACCACUAGUUUCAGGUGGAAUAUUAAUUUCUUCACCACUAUGCCUUGCUAUGUUGUAAUAUUCAUGAAGCAGGGGCAAAGUUGAAGAGUGUAAAUCUGUGAAGCCUAUUUACUUUGGUUUUUAUUUUUUAUUUUUUUUCUGUCUUGAUUGCAAUUCAUAUAUCAAUCCAAUUCUGAAUAAGUUUUCCAUUUUUCAACAUUAUGCCAAAGUUACACAAGCUUAUGGUGUAAAUGUGCACUGUAUUGGAAUCUUUUGUUGUUAAUAUUUGAAAUG